rnacentral:rRNA from 1 species
UGGGGAAUUUUGGACAAUGGGCGAAAGCCUGAUCCAGCCAUGCCGCGUGAGUGAAGAAGGCCUUCGGGUUGUAAAGCUCUUUUAGUCGGAAAGAAAGAGUUGCAAUGAAUAAUUGUGAUUUAUGACGGUACCGACAGAAAAAGCACCGGCUAACUACGUGCCAGCAGCCGCGGUAAUACGUAGGGUGCGAGCGUUAAUCGGAAUUACUGGGCGUAAAGGGUGCGCAGGCGGUCUUGCAAGUCAGAUGUGAAAGCCCCGGGCUUAACCUGGGAAUUGCGUUUGAGACUACAAGGCUAGAGUGCAGCAGAGGGGAGUGGAAUUCCAUGUGUAGCAGUGAAAUGCGUAGAGAUGUGGAAGAACACCGAUGGCGAAGGCAGCUCCCUGGGUUGACACUGACGCUCAUGCACGAAAGCGUGGGGAGCAAACA